UCUUUUUUUUUUUUGUGGUUCAGGAAGGGGUAAGGUUUGCAUUGAGAGAAGCUUUGAUGCUGAAGUGUGGAUAUGUGCAAUUAAAUUGAAAUUCUGGCCCUUGUCUAAGUAAAUGAAGCUACUUAAAAUAACAUUGUAUAGUGUUCAAAACACACAAUCAGACAUUCCAGUUGAGAAAGAUUGCAAAAAUUCUGAUGGAUCAAAAUGGGAUCAUCAAAACUCAAUUCUCAAAGGAUAGACAAGCCUGAAGUCUGAAUCUAUCCACCAACAAUUGCAGACAGCAAGUAGAAGAGCAAGACUUUUAAUAAGCUACGGGAAAUUCAUAUGUGGCAUAAAGAUAAUUUUUAACUACACAACUUAUUUGAAGUACGCUAAAGUGCAAUAUAUUUUCAAAAGGAUUAGCGCACACCAUAAGAUUACCUCAAGAGUUGCAGGUAAGUAUACUGGUGAGUAAUCCUUGACAUCAUCAAGUGUAUAUAUCCCUAUAAUGCGCUCACCAAGCACCUGAUUAAUUGGACACAAACAUGUAUAGAAACAACAGAAGAGGAGAAUUCAGAAAUAAAAUGUCAUCUGGAGUUCACAAAAGGUCAUACCUCAACAGUCAGACGGUGUGGAAAGCAAGGUUCAUCCCAUGCAUAAGGUUGAGAUGUGUAAGAGUGAACCAUAGUUUCAAAGGUUUCACAUCUUUGUUGGUAAACUCGUAGUCUCUACAAUAAGCAAAAGAAGGCAAUGUCAUAAUCAAGAUCUCAUAAAAUAACUAGUUGAAGGACCAUUACACCACCUACAUGAAUCUAAAAACACAUUCCGUCUGUUUAUUGACUGAAGGAAUAAGACCAGAAUAUAUUUCAUGCAUGUCUCUGGGUGUUGUGAGCAAGAGAGAUCAUACUAAAGCCUAAGCUUCCCCCCUCCCCCUUUUUUUUCUCCUUUUUUAGUGCAUGCAUGCAAAACACCUCUGUUAGUCGGACCCUUCACUUUGCCCUGCUUCAUUUUGCACUAGAACACCUGUGUUCACAGACUCCCAUACCCGAGUCUGAGUAACAUAGCAAAGAACAGGGUUCUUUAGAUAUAAAAAAGAAAAGCUCAUCCAAACUGCAAUUUUUGUCUGUAUAUUUCAAAAGAUCUUAUGCAACCCAAGCUUUUAAGGCCAGUAUGAUAAUUCUUCUUGACAACUAAAUAGGGCAAAAAUAAUAAGACAAAACCCAAACAAAAAUAAAUGUAGAAGUCCAUGUCAGUUAAUAGCCACAAGUCAAGUAACAGAAAGAAUAACGAAAAGGAAAAAGUGAAUCCAUGCAAACCAAUUAGUAAGAUUAUGAAUUUCGCAAAAAUAGAGCGACAUUAAAAGAUUAGAGAUCAUGAGAAAAAGUCAAAACCUUAGAAAACUUCAAAUGCCUUGCUGCUACUACAUGAUAAAAUACCAUUCUUGUCAAAGCAAGGAUCAAAUGAUUACCAACCUCCAUUGAAAAGUUGUCAAUCCUGUAGGGCAUAAAGCCUGUAUCAUCAUCAGAUAAGAGUAUCAAGUUCGUUCCAGAAUUUCCAUGAGCACUUCCAACUACCUUGUUAUCUUCAAUGGAAACAUCAGCACUCUGCACUUCCGCACGGAUCAUGUUUACAGAACCAGAUGCAUAAUUCCACAUUUUAACCUGAGUAUCACCUAGAUGCUCUGGUGAGAAGCAACCUGACCACUGCGAUCCAGGUUCAUGAAAACGAAUACAAACAAGAAACUCCCUGGAGAAUUUAAGAGCGUGAAUAUUAAAAAACAGGAAAGCACUAUACUUUGUAGGCUUGUAUUCUCUAUUAUAGAUUUUUAUUUUGCUGGUUUUGUUUGGGUGGAUAUGUGCGCGACCCAGGAAGGCAAAAUGGCAUAUAAUUCGACAGCAGCAAUUCUGUUGUGAAGACAUUUUCCAUUUUAAGUGAAAGCUCCUUCACAUUCUACACUUACUAUAAUUCAUUCAACUAAGUUAUUCAGCCUCAUACCUUUCUUUGCUUCUUGUCUAUGAGACCAUACAUUCUAUAUGGUGCAGAAGGUAGUUUAAUAGCACUAAGAAAUAGGCUUGAAACUACUGAAUUCUAAGAACAUAUAGGACUUAGAAACAAAGUUUGAGAACCAAAAUAUCCAAUUCGAUGGCUCUCAUAUCAUCAGAAACCAAGAUACCUAAAAGUAUGAAAACUAAUAAAAUUUCAAUCAGGUAUUGCGAAUUGGGAUUUAGCCUCAUGCAAGGGUCAAUAUCUCCCAUUCAAGAAGAUAGAAUUCUAGUCACAU
rnacentral:lncRNA from 1 species